UACGGGGGGCACUAGCGUUGUUGGUAAUUACUGGGCGUAAAGCGCCCGUAGGCGGAUUUGUAAGUCAGGGGUGAAAUCCCGGGGCUCAACCUCGGAACUGGCUGUGAUACUGCAAAUCUCGAGUCCGGAAGAGGUGAGUGGAAUUCCUAGUGUAGAGGUGAAAUUCGUAGAUAUUAGGAAGAACACCAGUGGCGAAGGCGGCUCACUGGUCCGGUACCGACGCUGAGGUGCGAAAGCGUGGGGAGCAAACGGG
rnacentral:rRNA from 1 species